ACAUCUUUUUAGCUUCUGAUCAGGAGAACAAGCAUCCAAAGUAUUCUAUGAACUGUUCUUUGGUAGAGUAUCAAUGACUCAAUCCAAGUUUCAAGUUCAAGUCUCAAAUCUUAAUUUCAAGAUCAAAAUUUUGAGAUCAAGGUAUCCACUAGAAGAAGGUGAGGCAAUAACUGAAGAUCCAAGAGGAAGAUCGGAAGCAAGAGGAUCAAGACAAAUAGAAUAGAUAGGAUCUUGUACUUUUAUUUCCAGUUUUAUAUUGUGUAAUAAAAGGAGCAACGAACCGAAAACUCGACGGGACCUCAACUCGACUCUCCAAUUCAUCCACUCAUUCCUA
rnacentral:lncRNA from 1 species